rnacentral:rRNA from 1 species
AGAGCGAACGCUGGCGGCGUGCUUAACACAUGCAAGUCGAACGCGCAGUUUCCUGUAGCAAUACAGGAAGCUGGCGCGUGGCGAACGGGUGCGUAACACGUGGAUAACCUUCCUUCAGGUGGGGAAUAACCCAGUGAAAAUUGGGCUAAUACCGCAUAACAUGACGAUGGCACAUGCCGUUGUCUUCAAAGCCGCAAGGCGCCAGAUGAGGGAUCCGCGGCCGAUUAGCUUGUUGGCGAGGUAAUGGCUCACCAAGGCAAUGAUCGGUAGCCGGACUGAGAGGUUGGCCGGCCACACUGGAACUGAGACACGGUCCAGACUCCUACGGGAGGCAGCAGUGGGGAAUCUUGCGCAAUGGACGAAAGUCUGACGCAGCAACGCCGCGUGGGGGAUGAAGCUUCUCGGAGUGUAAACCCCUUUCGACCCGGACGAAUGCCCGCAAGGGUUUGACGGUACGGGUAUAAGAAGCCCCGGCUAACUACGUGCCAGCAGCCGCGGUAAUACGUAGGGGGCCAGCGUUGCUCGGAAUUACUGGGCGUAAAGGGUUCGUAGGUGGUGCGGUAAGUUGGAAGUGAAAUCUCUGGGCUUAACCCAGAGGCUGCUUUCAAAACUGUCGCGCUCGAGUGCGAGAGAGGUCAGUGGAAUUGCAGGUGUAGCGGUGAAAUGCGUAGAUAUCUGCAGGAACACCCGUGGCGAAGGCGGCUGACUGGAUCGCAACUGACACUGAGGAACGAAAGCUAGGGGAGCAAACAGGAUUAGAUACCCUGGUAGUCCUAGCCCUAAACCAUCGGAACUUGGGGUGGCCCGCGUAGGCGGGUCGUCCCGUAGCUAACGCGAUAAGCAUCCCGCCUGGGGAGUACGGUCGCAAGGCUGAA